GAUGAACGCUGGCGGCGUGCCUAAUACAUGCAAGUCGAGCGAACAGACGAGGAGCUUGCUCCUCUGACGUUAGCGGCGGACGGGUGAGUAACACGUGGAUAACCUACCUAUAAGACUGGGAUAACUUCGGGAAACCGGAGCUAAUACCGGAUAAUAUAUUGAACCGCAUGGUUCAAUAGUGAAAGACGGUUUUGCUGUCCCUUAUCGAUGGAUCCGCGCCGCAUUAGCUAGUUGGUCAGGUAACGGCUUACCAAGGCGACGAUGCGUAGCCGACCUGAGAGGGUGAUCGGCCACACUGGAACUGAGACGCGGUCCAGACUCCUACGGGAGGCAGCAGUAGGGAAUCGUGCGCAAUGGGCGAAAGCCUGACGGAGCAACGCCGCGUGAGUGAUGAAGGUCUUCGGAUCGGAAAACUCUGUUAUUAGGGAAGAACAAAUGUGUAAGUAACUAUGCACGUCGUGACGGUACCUAAUCAGAAAGCCACGGCUAACUACGUG
rnacentral:rRNA from 1 species